CAAGAUCAAUCUAGUCAAAGCGGCACGUUCGUUGUCCUAUGCUGACUAGCAAGCAAGAUCGACGAGUUGAUUUGCCUAAAACCGAUGGAUUUUGCAUCGUGGGCAGUGUCAAGUCCAAGAUGGAGUCUGAUCCCAUCAGAGCUCUGAGUUCAAAUCCGUGGAAUUAUGCUACGCGCACACAGAAGAGGCCACCAGAAGAUUUCAAGUGCUUUCCGGCAACACCAACAAUUAGCAACGCUGACUCGU
rnacentral:lncRNA from 1 species